GAAUAUUGGACAAUGGGCGAAAGCCUGAUCCAGCAAUGCCGCGUGAGUGAUGAAGGCCCUAGGGUUGUAAAGCUCUUUUACCAGGGAUGAUAAUGACAGUACCUGGAGAAUAAGCUCCGGCUAACUCCGUGCCAGCAGCCGCGGUAAUACGGAGGGAGCUAGCGUUGUUCGGAUACACUGGGCGUAAAGCGCACGUAGGCGGCGCCGUAAGUCAGGGGUGAAAUCCCGGAGCUCAACUCCGGAACUGCCCUUGAAACUGCAGUGCUAGAAUUCUGGAGAGGCGAGUGGAAUUCCGAGUGUAGAGGUGAAAUUCGUAGAUAUUCGGAAGAACACCAGUGGCGAAGGCGACUCGCUGGACAGACAUUGAUGCUGAGGUGCGAAAGCGUGGGGAGCAAACAGG
rnacentral:rRNA from 1 species